rnacentral:antisense_RNA from 1 species
AAUCAUCAGGUGGUGAAGCCAGCCUGACUUGUGUCCUUCCCUUCAUGGUGGUAAUUAUCCAGUUGAUAUUUAUCUUGUUCCAGUCACCUUAAGAAAGCUGUUUGUAAUUAAUCAAACUCAAUAACAGCACAAAAGUAACAACUCAGGUGAAAAUAAAACUCACUUAUGUCUUCAAUGUCCAAUCAACAUUGCCAAAUGGGAGAACAGUUUUGGAAAUCACUAGUGGGUAAAAAAGACCAAUUUGCAACUAGGCUCUCAUGCUCUAUUGAAAACUAUGUCACAAUAUCACAAUACUAGAUGCUGGGCUCAAGAGAGCAAACAGAAAGCAGCAAGGGCAGUGACUGGAAGCUGGGAGAGAGGGUCAACAGCUGAAUCUCAGCCUGAUGGAGGCCAC